rnacentral:rRNA from 1 species
GAACCUUCGGGGAACGAUAACGGCGUCGAGCGGCGGACGGGUGAGUAAUGCCUAGGAAAUUGCCCUGAUGUGGGGGAUAACCAUUGGAAACGAUGGCUAAUACCGCAUGAUGCCUACGGGCCAAAGAGGGGGACCUUCGGGCCUCUCGCGUCAGGAUAUGCCUAGGUGGGAUUAGCUAGUUGGUGAGGUAAGGGCUCACCAAGGCGACGAUCCCUAGCUGGUCUGAGAGGAUGAUCAGCCACACUGGAACUGAGACACGGUCCAGACUCCUACGGGAGGCAGCAGUGGGGAAUAUUGCACAAUGGGCGCAAGCCUGAUGCAGCCAUGCCGCGUGUAUGAAGAAGGCCUUCGGGUUGUAAAGUACUUUCAGCAGUGAGGAAGGUUCAUACGUUAAUAGCGUAUGGAUUUGACGUUAGCUGCAGAAGAAGCACCGGCUAACUCCGUGCCAGCAGCCGCGGUAAUACGGAGGGUGCGAGCGUUAAUCGGAAUUACUGGGCGUAAAGCGCAUGCAGGUGGUUUGUUAAGUCAGAUG